rnacentral:rRNA from 1 species
UACGGGGGGGGCAAGCGUUGUUCGGAAUUACUGGGCGUAAAGGGCUCGUAGGCGGCCAACUAAGUCGGACGUGAAAUCCCUCGGCUUAACCGGGGAACUGCGUCCGAUACUGGAUGGCUUGAGUUUGGGAGAGGGAUGCGGAAUUCCAGGUGUAGCGGUGAAAUGCGUAGAUAUCGGGAAGAACACCCGUGGCGAAGGCGGCUCUCUGGGACGGUACUGACGCUGAGACGCGAAAGCGUGGGGAGCGAACAGG